UCCACAACCAUUUCUUACAGGGUCACUUCGCAUUUCUCACUCUCAUAAUAAAACGUUUUGCAAAAAUAAAUGAUAUCUCAUAAAAAAACACGUUUUCAACGUACAAAAAUGCCAAGUUACUCACACGUACAAGACAUACACCGUCUAUAACUCAUUCAUUCAAACUGAGUUCGAUAAACUUUGUUACAGGCUUAUAUUGUGCUUUCAAGUGUGUAUCGACACUAUUUUGGGAUCUUGUAUUUAAACAAAACCUAAGUAAGCAUCAUAAGCACCUUACUACUUUCUCCGGAUUACUCGCCAAAGUAAAUUGUAAACCAAACGACGCGAACAACUGAAGAAAAUACGGUAAGAGCGCAUCAUGACUUCCAUUCCCUGCAUUGUUUGCUGCAUGGUUAGUCUUAGCUCUGCUGCUAAUUUUACUAGUAAUGGUACCUGUUCUAAAUGUCUGCUUAAUUUAGAAUUGGCACAGAAAAUAACUGAGUUAGAGACGCGCAUCCGGACUUUGUAUCAGAUCCAGGAGAGUGAGACUUUCUUAGACUCCCUUUUACCCGAGCCGGAUGCUAGUUUAGAUGCGAGUGUUUCUCCGCCGCCAGUGUCCUCGCUGCAGGACGAUUUUAUCACGGUACCAAAGAAACAUAGUUGCCGGCCCAGGGCCGCCGAGCACCACCCAACUCGCGUUUCCAACAGAUAUUCCCCACUCAGUAACACACCUACUGAGAAAGCCCUGAUCAUAGGGGAUAGUAUUUUGAGAAACGUGAGAUUAGAGACACCAGGGACCAUAGUACAGUGUAUUCCUGGGGCCAGAGCCACCGACAUUGAGGCAAAUUUAAAAGUGCUGGCUAAAAGUAAACGUAAAUACUCUAGGAUUGUUAUCCACGUCGGCACAAACGACAUCCGAUUGAGGCAAUCGGAGGUAACCAAAAGUAAUUUUAUAUCGGUGUGUGCAGUGGCAAAAAAGAUGUGUCGGGAAGUAAUUUGCUCUGGCCCGCUUCCAGCUUGUAGGAGCGAUGAGGUCUACAGUAGGCUAUCUUCGCUAAAUCUCUGGCUGUCGGAGUGGUGCUCAUCUAGUGACAUAGGCUUUAUUAACAAUUGGCCUGAUUUCUGGGGAAGGCCUGGCCUAUUGAAGAGAGACGGACUCCACCCGAGCUGGAGAGGUUCUCGUGUCCUAUCCAACAACAUAGCUGCUAGUCUUAAUAAGGCCAGAUCCUGACACUCCAUCAGGGCACCGGCCAGGCCGCAGGCUUCUAACUUUAUGUUUUUGCCUGCUCGUUUCUUUAUACCUGUGUCCCAGACUUAUGGCCCUACGCCUAUGUCUGCAAGGUGCGUUUCAGAGUUAGUUCAUAGAAAUAGUAUUUCAAAAGCCCCUUUAAUUAAUACUCUUAAACUAGAAUCUGAUAUCUGUUAUAUUGAGACUGUGUCUGUUCCACGCAUCUAUGCCAAACAUAAAGCUAACCGUGGAAUUGAUGUGGAUAACUUAAUUGUCAUUAAAACACGGCACGCUGCUAUUAUUCAUAGUGAACCAUCCUUAAAAAUUGGACUAUUAAAUGUUAGAUCACUCACUCCAAAAGCAGAUCUUGUCAA